GCCACCUUUGACUGGAAGAUGACUCCUGUCUGUUUCAUAGGGGCCUUGCAAACCUCACCAUGAUAUACAUAGCCAGUAAACGGGAGUCCCUAUAACACAAGACAGAUGAUAAACUUCUCCGGCAGCCUGGGAAAGGAGAGGGCAAUGCAUUGCAGGAAAAAAAAAAGCACGAAUUUCUCUUUGGGUGACUACUUUGUUUCCUUUUCAUCAGUUAUGGGAACUCCAUUUUGAACAAAGGAAAUGCAAACUGGCAAAGAAACAAAGGGCCUUUGGUUUUCCCUUUGGACUUUAUGGUAGCAGCUGUAAGAUAAUCCAUGCCCUUUGCUGAACCUGUGUGUAUGAGAAAACCACAGCAGCUCACAUGCCCAUUGGCUUAUCUCCUGAAGGAGGUUACUGGCCAAGUGACAGUUGUGAUCUCUACGUGUACCAAGUGCAGUGCUGCUGUAUACUGUUGUAACAUCCAUCUUUCCUUGUUCCCUUCUUUCACUGCCCUCCAACAUCAUGCAUCAGAUUCUCUGGAAAGGGACCUCUGCCAACAGGUCAAGAGUGAUGUGCCCAGCUCCAUGUCCACGGUCAUACCCUAGGAAACCUAGAGCAAGUCAAAUUGUCUGUGGGGAGAGACAAACACCUUUGGAAGUGGAGAAUAUCCCCACUAGGCUGAGACAUCUGUCAUAGAGGCAUCCUUCUCCAGCAGUGCCUUGUCUCUCCCUGCUGGCUGCAAAAGGGAUGUCUGGUUUAGAGAAGUCAGUAGCUUUCAGAAGGAUAAAUUCAAAUGGAACCAAUCUGCUCCUGAAGGUACAUGCUUGCAUAGCUGUUGGCUGGCCCUUCUGUUUUAAUCACUUCCUUCUCCUUUCUCUCGUUGAAGAGCGCAUGGCUCUCCCACUCCUUCUCAGUGGUUGCUCAGAGACUUUCCUCACACUGGGUGGCUGCUUGGGAAGUCAUCAGCUGCCAGAUGAGCAAGGAGGGAAAGUGACAGCUGCCUGAGGGAAGGAGCUGGCACGUGGAGCAGAGCAAAGGGCUCCAGUAUGACCAUCUGUGGGACAUAGGAUGCAACCAUGGACAUCACAACUCAAGUAAGGGAACUCCAGCAGAAAUGAAGAGCCAUGCGGGGGCUGGAAGUGUUGCUGUGCUUGUGGGGAGGCAGCAUGACCAGAUGAACCCAGCAUCUGUGCCUUCACCACACAAAAAGGAAGAGGGAAGAUAGUCUUGAAGACCAUAAUAAGUCAAGGCAGGUGAAAAGCUCUUGUUAAAACUAAAGGACAGUGUGUCAUACAAACUAAUGUGAUUAAAUUGGUAUUUAAUAAGAUUUUAACUGGAAAUAAUCAGCAUGUUUCAUCACAGGAGCAGUGGGAUCCUUCUUGCCAGCAACCCCAAACCCUAAUUACUCCUAAGGUGGUCCUAGGCAGCAGAGGCUUUAUACAUGGUCUUUUCCAGCCCUGUGUUCAGCCAACUCGUAGAAUCAUUAAGGCUGGAAAAGGCCUGUCAGAUCAUCCAAUCCAGCCAUCAAACCAUUCCCACCAUGCCCGCUAACCAUGUUCCUCAGUGCCACAUGUACGCGUUCCUUGAACGUGUGAUUCUACUACAUCAUCAUCCAGGGGUGGGCAAUUGCUUGGCUGCCAGCUCAGUGCUGACUCUGAGAGCCCUGUGGGGCUGAAGAGAAUCCCCCUCAGCCACCUGUGAUUUCUGGCCAUUAGUGUGACAACAGCUGCACAUCGAUGUGCUGUGGACGAUCGUGUGGUAGCAUUCUCUUCCACAAGUUUUUGGUAAUACAAAGUAAGAGGGAAUAAGUUCGAUUUUACGCUGUUGAAUGCAAUGAAAUUACACGGGGGAUUCCAGUGCUCCUUAGUGACUCUCUGGCAGCUUCUGCAGGACUGCAGCACUCCACGGGCGGCUGUCUGCCUCUGCUGACAGGAGGGGAUUCCUCCAGCCUUAGGAUUCCCCACCAUGCUGAGCUCUGUGCCUCCCGUGUUUGGAGCCUGGUCAGAUUUCAUCACGGAAUGUCCUUGUGGGACCAGCACCGGCUCUGGGGAGCAGCAAGCUCAUUGCAGGCAAGGCUGUUUCCCUGGGAAAUUGCUGCUGCCUUCAGCCCUUCUUCUGGAUGCUGGCUUAGGCACAGACUGUGCAGACCACACAAAUACAGCCUCAGUCUGCCUGCAUCCAUCCGUGCCUGUAUCUAGCAGUCUCACACUCGUGUCACCCCUCUCCCCAUAAUGAAUAUGAGUCACAGAAAGGACUCACACUGGAAACGAGUCUCACUGGUGAAGCUAACCAACACUGCUAAUGCAAGUCAGCAGAGUGUGUUUCAUUCAUCAAAAAUUUGCACAAAACUUUGUAUAAUUUCCAGUCAGGAUCCUUCCCAGCGUGCCCUAA
rnacentral:lncRNA from 1 species